GACGAACGCUGGCGGCGUGCUUAACACAUGCAAGUCGAGCGGAGCGGCGAACGGGAGAGUAACGCGUGAGUAACUGCCCCCCUCGCUGGGAUAACAGUUGGGAACGGCUGCAAAUACCGGAUAGUGGGGGAUGACUCGCGUCCUAUCGGCUUGUUGGUGGGGUAGUGGCUUACCAAGGCGACGACGGGUCGCCGGCCUUAGAGGGCGACCGGCCACAAUGGGCUUCGGUACGGCCCAAACUGCUACCGGAGGCAACAGUGGAGAAUAUUGCACAAUGGGGCAAACCCUGCGGCGGAAACGCCGCGUGCGGGAUGACCGCCUUCGGGUUGUAAACCGCGAUCAGCCAUGACGCGGUAGUGGCAGAAGAAGCACCGGCUAACUACGUGCCAGCAGCCGCGGUAAUUC
rnacentral:rRNA from 1 species